rnacentral:lncRNA from 1 species
AAGAACUAAGGCCAUGUGGGAGGAACCACAUGACAGCAUUUGCACUGUAAUUCUUCAGUAUCCAGUAUCCAGGUGUUGCUCAAGUUGCUAUCUCCCUUAUGCUGUAACAUGACCCUGUAGCCUAUAACUUGUUUUAUUUAUUGUUUUUACUUAGUUAUGCCUCCAGGUGUAUUCUGUGUGGCUAGUUUCUAAUCUAGAUCACUAAACAAACAAAUCAUUCUAUGAGAUACAAUUGCAGUUCUAAGGUGGUAAAAACAAGGCAGAGGCCAGGUUUUAUAUUCAUCUUGUAUUCCCUUCCAACACCUAGUUCAAUGCUUGGCACUCAAUAAAUGUUUGCUGAAAGGAAAUUAAAUACUAAACAGAGAUAGAGAUUGUGAGUUUAGAAGGGAGGGUGGUAGUUGUUGGCAUUGUGGAUAGGGGCCCAGAAUCCCAACUAGGAAAAUUGCUUUUGUGUUCAUUCAAUUUCUGUUUGUGAGACUGCAGAUUGACUGAUAGACAAUUUAGUAGCAGAAUGUAACCAAAGAGAGAUCUUUUUUGCUUGUUUUCCAUUUAACAGAAACCAAAAACCACUGAGACUUCCCUGAAAGAUCCUGAUCACAAGAUUUCAGAACAAAGAAGUUAUGACACAGUGUCUUCUUCCUGGGAAUUUACUAGAAACAUGUUUCUUCAGAAGCAGAAGAGAUUGUCAAAAAAUUGCCUUGGAAUUACCGUCAUGUCUUCACUAUAUAGAGGUAUCUCUGAAGAGCAUGUUUGGUAUGGAGGAGUAAGAAAGUAACAGACAGUAGCUGAUUCUUUAUAUUACUUGGAGCCUAAGAGACAUCAUGAAAAAUUUCUUUUAGGUCUGCAUUGACAAGUCAAUCCUAAGCCAAAAGAACAAAGCUGGAGGCAUCAUGCUACCUGACUUCUAACUAUACUACAAGGUUACAGUAACCAAAACAGCAUGGUACUGGUACCAAAACAGAGAUAUAGACCAAUGGAACAGAACAGAGGCCUCAGAAAUAAUACCACACAUCUACAACUACCUGAUCUUUCACAAACCUGGCAAAAACAAGAAAUGGGGAAAGGAUUCCCUAUUUAAUAAAUGGUGCUGGGGAAACUGGCUAGCCAUAUGUAGAAAGCUGAAACUGGAUCCCUUCCUUACACCGUAUACAAAAAUUAAUUCAAGAUAGAUUAAAGACUUAAAUGUUAG